AAAGGCGUACCACAUCUAAGGAAGGCAGCAGGCGCGUAACUUACCCACUCCCAGUUCAGGGAGGUAGUGACAAUAAAUACCUUACAGAGGUCUCGUUAACCGAGAUCUCUCAAACGGAAUGAGUACAACGUGAAUCCUUUAACGAGGAUCGACUGGAGGGCAAGCCUGGUGCCAGCAGCCGCGGUAAUUCCAGCUCCAGUAGCGUAUAUUAAAGCUGUUGCGGUUAAAAAGCUCGUAGUUGGAUAUCAGUGCGUGUCCGGUCCGGUAUGCCCGGCGGCGUCGCUCGCGCGUCGCUGCUGGGCUCCCAAAUAUCGGCUGGCCGCAUUCAAUGGUGCCGGAUCCGUCGGCGGGCCGUUCUUCGGAGGGGCCUGCUGGCGACCGGCGACGUUACCUUGAACAAAUUAGAGUGCUCAAAGCAGGCUCUGAAUGCCUGUAUACAUAUUCAUGGAAUUGGAGAAUACGUCCCUGGCUCGAUUUGGUUGGUUUUGAGAGUCGAAGGGAAAUGAUUAAUAGGGACUGACGGAGGCAUUCGUAUUGCGACGCGAGGGGUGAAAUCCUGUGACCGUCGCACGACGAACUACUGCGAAAGCAUUUGCCGAGAAUGUUUUCAUUAGUCAAGAACGAAAGUUAGAGGUUCGAAGGCGAUCAGAUACCGCCCUAGUUCUAACCGUAAACGAUGUCGACCAGCAAUCCGCAACGGUCACUACACGGACUGUGCGGGCAGCUUCCCCGGGGAAACCAGAGUGUAUGGACUCCGGGGGAAGUAUGGUUGCAAAGCUGAAACUUAAAGGAAUUGACGGAAGGGCACCACCAGGAGUGGAGCUUGCGGCUUAAUUUGACUCAACACGGGACAACUCACCAGGCCCGGACACCGUAAGGAUUGACAGACUGAUAGCUCUCUCUUGAUUCAGUGGGUGGUGGUGCAUGGCCGUUCUUAGUUGGUGGAGUGAUUUGUCUGGUUUAUUCCGAUA
rnacentral:rRNA from 1 species